rnacentral:lncRNA from 1 species
GCUCCUCCUUGGUCCCCGCGCCAUGGCGCGUCCGCGUUGACCGCUGUCUUCCCUUUCGGGCUGUGCUGAUCGCGAACGCUGCGCAGUCCGUGGUGGCGUCGAGGCACCUUUCUCGUGCCUUUACCUGUGUUCACUCCUUUGCUUUAAAAAACAGCCCUAGAAGUACACAUCGUUGGCCCCGAAGGAGCCCCAGCAGCCAUGUCGGACCGCGAGGUGACCUUGGAGGGCGGGAGGACGGACGAGGGGCCUGGCGGAGCUAGACUGAGAGGGCGCCGCCGGCGUCCUGAAGGCCCUGCUCCCCGAAUGUGUGGGAGUGUGUCUGACGGUGCGAGGGUGGCUGUGGCGGGGCCUGAGCAGCGUGUCCGUGUCCCGAUGCCGCCCGCCUGUUACUGAGUUAGGCAGGAGUGCCCGAGUCUGGCGAACUUCAGCAGUUCUCGUUCCAGAGCUCCACACGAGGUUGGCCAAAGCUUUGCGGGACUUACAUACCCUUCUUCCUCCGCCCAGUCCUGCUUCCUUCCCCUUCCUUUCACGGGUGUUGAUACCAUGUCAACAUCCUCGUACCCCAAACUCAGUCGCAGCGUCUGCUUCUGGAGAAACCAUUCUGCAGCAUUAAAGCUGGUGAGAAGAUGGGAUUCGAGGCUGCAUCACUCACCAGUGGUGAAGUAGGAGGGUGAACUAGUGAAAUGGAAUCCACGAGUGGGUGAAGUAUCAGACAUUUCAUAUAUGGUGAACGUAGUAGAUAAAAGGAAGGAAAGGGGGAUUGGAUAGCUAUUGCUUAGUGCCAACCGAGACUCUUAAGAAUAGUGGUCAGCUGAAGGCAAGCAACAAACAGUUGUAAGCCAGUGAAUCUGUCCCGUUACAUAUAGAGAAGCUUCAUUUACUGCAGCAGGUCAAAGACAAGAACCAGGCCCAGGAAUUAACAUCCCUGUUUGACUGAACUCCAAAAAUAGCAAAACACCCAAACAAGGCAAUACUCUUCCACUAAGUUUGGAUCCCUGCUAAGAAAAGAUGAGGCUGGGCACAGUGGCUCACACCUGUAAUCCCAGCACUUUGGGAGGCCAAGGCGGGAAGAUUGCUUGAGUUCAGGAGUUCAAGACCAGCUUGGGCAACAUGACAAAACCCCAUCUCUACUGAAAACACAAAAAAUUAGCCGGGCAUGGUGGCCACGGCUGUGGUCCCAGCUGCUUGGGAGGCUAAGGUGGGUGGAUCACCUGAGCCCUGGAAGUCAGGGCUGUAGUGAGCUGUGACUGCACUCCAGCCUGGGCAACAGGAGUGAGACUCUGUCUUUUAAAAAAAAAAAAGAAAGAAAAGAAAAGCCCGUCAUACAUGGGUUGGAGAUACCUGGGUAGAUGCCUUCAAAGGUUUUGACUCCCCAAACUGCCUUAAACCUUUUUUUCGUAGACAGUGUCUCACUCUGUUGCCCAGGCUGGAGUGCAGUUGCUGGAUCAUGGCCCACUGUAGCCUCAACUUCCUGGGCUCAAACGAUCCUCCCACCUGAGCCUCCUAAGUAACUGGGACUACAGGUAUGUGUCACCACACCUGGAUACAUUUUUUAUUACUUGUAGAGGCAAGGUCUUGCUAUGUUGCCCGGGCUUGUCUCAAACUUCUAGGCUCCAGUGAGCCAUCACACCUGGCCUGCCUUGAACCUGAAGCCUGCCGGGGUGGCUCACCUCUCCUAUUAACCUGACACUACUCCUCCUCCCUCCACUUACUGCUCAGUAGAUGUAUAAUUAUGGUUGUUUCUUUUGCAUUAUUCAGCUGGAAACAAUGAGAUAGAAAAGAGAAUAUAGCUCCCUCCCCCUCAGAAGAACUGCGUUAUUAGUUUGCUGGGGCUUCAGUAACAAACUGGGCAGACAUUUAUUGUCUCCCAGUUCUGGAGGCUAGAAGUCUGAGAUCAAAGUUUUCACAGGGUUGGUUCCUUCUGGGGCUGGGAGGGAGAAUCUGUCUCAUGCCUCUCUCCCAGCUUCUGGUGGUUUGCUGGCAGUCUUUGGUUCCUUGGCUUAUAGAGGCAUUGUCCCAGUCCUGCCUUUAUAUUCACAUGGUGAUCUUGUUGUGUGUGUCUCUCCAGACGAAGGCAUAAGUAACAUCAUUGACAAAGGUCAUUCGACAUGGGCCUCUUUUUAGAAGGACACCAGUCAUACUGAUUAGGGCCCACUCUAAUGAGCGCAUCUUAACUUGUCUACAAAGACCCAUUUCCAAAUAAUGUCACAUUCACAUUGACCAGGGGUUAGGGCUUCAGCAUCUUUUGAGAGGGACACACUUCAGCCCAUAACAAGCUGUACCACCCAGCCAACAUGUACUGACAGGAGCUGGGAAAGUUUGGGGCUGGAUUAUGAGGGUGCUUGAUGAAGGGAGCUGGAAUGUAAACUUGCAUAGAUGUGUUUAUUGAAAUACGUGAUUUAACACCUUGGCAAAGAGUGGCUGCAGACUUCCUGCAAGGAUGGCUCCUAGAAUGGCGGUAUAGCUACUGCUGCCUAACAAAUUACUCCACACUUCGUGGCUUAAAACAAGAAUCAUUUCUUAUCUCUAGGUUACUGUGGGUCAGACAUAGUGGGGAUCGGUGAUCUCUCUAGGUUACUGUGGGUCAGACAUAGUGGGGAUUGGUUAUCUCUCUUCCACAGUGUCUGAGGCCUCAGCUGGAGCAGUUCAGAGGCUAGAGGUUGGAAUGAGUGAAGGUUCAUCUGCUCGAAUGUCUGACAGCUGAUACUGGAGAUUGGCUGCAGCCCAGAUUGGGGAUGUCAGCCAGCACACCCCUACACGGCCGGUCCCUGUGGCCGAGGCUUUCUCACAAUAUGAUGGCUGGAUUCCAAGGGCAAUCUAAAGACAAAGGACAAAAGAAAGCUGUAUCCUUUUUGUGAACCAGCCUCAGAAGUUGCAUACCAUCACUUCGGCUACUUCCUAUUUGGAAGAAAUGAGUCACUAAAUUACCCAUAUUCAAAAGGAGAGGAAUUAGGCUUCAUCUUCUAAAGGGAAGAAUAUCAAAAAAUUUGCCAGUAUAUUUUUAAAACACCACACUUGGAAAAAGCCAUGGGCCAUGGUAAGCAAAAUUGAAAUGGCAAAAUUGCUAUGGCAGACAGUGGUGGAAGGGAGUAAAAGGUUCAGGGGUGUGGGCAUGUUGAAAUUUAUAUACUCCGUGCAUCUAGAAGACAUUUGAGACGAUCAUAUUCCACAUGAAGGUGUAAAUAACACGUCAUUUAUAAAGAUCAUUAGACAUAGGAUGAUGAAAGGGGCACUGAUGUCACUAAAAUAUUCAGUGAUGGCUCAUCUCUGUAGGCAAGAAUGACAAUAGAAAGGCUGUUCCAGAACUUGGCUGGGUGAUAGCACUGGGGAUGAUAGGAUCCUAAGACAAAAGAGGCCAUUCUGGGACAUAGUGGGGACCAAAGAAAAAAACCCAAGAAGCCAAAGGCAACACUUAGCUGGCAGAAGUCAGAGGAUUGCAAUUAUAGCAGCCAGCAGGGUCUGAGUGGCAGCCAAGGGGACCUCACUUGUAUGGUUAUAGAACUGGUCAAUAAACAUGGCAUCCCUGGAGGCAAAACAGGUGGGCAGCUAAGAAGGGUACUACUCAGCUGGCAAAAAAAAAAAAAAAAAAA